rnacentral:rRNA from 1 species
UUAAGAUACUAAGAGCAUACGGUGGAUGCCUUGGCGAUAUCUGCCGACGAAGGACGUGACAAGCUGCGAAAAGCUGCGGAGAGAUGCAAAUAAUCGGCGACCCGCAGACAUCCGAAUGGAGAAAUCCGGCUGUGAUGAUGCACAGCCAUCCAUGCCCAAGAGCAUGAGAAGGGAACCGGGCGAACUGAAACAUCUAAGUAACCCGAGGAAAAGAAAUCAAACGAGAUACCCCAAGUAGCGGCGAGCGAACAGGGAAGAAGCCCAAACCGGUGAAGGAAACUUUGCCGGGGUUGAGGACCAUCAGACCCGCGAAGAACCUUAGCCGAAACUGUUGGGAAACAGUGCCAAAGACAGUGAAAGCCUGGUAGGCGAAAAAGAGAAACGCGGAGAUGGCACCAGAGUACCGCGGGACACGAGAAAUCCCGUGGGAAACAGGGGGGACCACCCUCCAAGGCAAAACACAGAUAUCGACCGAUAGCGCAUAGUACCAUGAGGGAAAGGUGAAAAGCACCCCGGGAGGGGAAUGAAAGAGAACCUGAAACCGUAUGUUUACAAGCAGUCGGAGACCGCUUAAUAAUAAGGUCGACGGCGUGCCUAUUGAAGAAUGAACCGGCGAGUUACGAAGCCUGGCAAGGUUAAGCAGGAAAUGCGGAGCCGAAGCGAAAGCGAGUCUUAAGAGGGCGCAAGUCAGGAAGCGUAGACCCGAAACCACAGUGAUCUACCCAUGUCCAGGUUGAAACACAGGUAAAAAUGUGUGGAGGACCGAACCUAUAUCCGUUGAAAAGGGUUAGGAUGAGGUGUGGGUAGGGGUGAAAUUCCAAUCGAACGUGGAGAUAGCUGGUUCUCCCCGAAAUAGCUUUAGGGCUAGCCUCAGGGAAAAGAUUGCAGGCGGUAGAGCACUGAUCAGGAGAGGGACCUACCCGGUUACCAAACCCAGUCAAACUCCGAAUGGCUGCAAUCAUACCUGGGAGUCAGACUGCGACUAAUAAGGGCCGCAGUCAAAAGGGAAACAGCCCAGACCAUCAGCUAAGGUCCCCAAUGCCGUGCUAAGUGGCGAAGGAUGUGGCAUUUCAUAAACAACCAGGAUGUUGGCUCAGAAGCAGCCACCAUUUAAAGAGUGCGUAAUAGCUCACUGGUCGAGAGACGCUGCGCCGAAAAUGUCCGGGGCUCAAGCACGGAACCGAAGCUAUGGCAUGAUAGCAAUAUCAUGGGUAGGGGAGCGUUCUUAUAAGGAAGAAGCAUGACCGGAAGGACAUGUGGACAAAUAAGAAGUGAGAAUGCCGGUAUGAGUAUCGAAAAGAAAGGUGAGAAUCCUUUCCACCGAAAGCCCGAGGGUUCCUGAGCAACGAUCGUCGACUCAGGGUAAGUCGGGACCUAAGCCGAGGCGAGAAGCGUAGGCGAUGGACAACAGGUUGAAAUUCCUGUACCGGAUCAAGUCGAUCGAGCGAAGGAGCGACGCAGGAGGGCACAUGAUCGCGCGGGUGGAAGAGCGCGUCCAAGUGCGUAUGUUGCUGCAGAGGAAAACCCCUGCAGCUAAAAGCAGAGACAUGAUGGGGAGUUAAUGGGAACUUUGACGAACUCAUGAAUCCCACACUGCCAAGAAAAACUUCUAGCGAGACAAGAUCCGCCCGUACCGUAAACCGACACAGGUAGGCGGGGAGAGAAUCCUAAGGUGCGCGGGAAAACCCUCGUUAAGGAACUCGGCAAAUUGCAUCCGUAACCUAGGGAGAAGGAUGGCCCCCGGUCAGUGAAGAGCAGAAACGCUCAGAGCUAAAAGGGGCGGCAGAAAAGAGGCCCAAGCAACUGUUUACCAAAAACACAGGUGCCUGCGAAAGCGAAAGCUGAAGUAUAGGUGCUGACGCCUGCCCGGUGCCGGAAGGUUAAGGAGAGAAGUUAGCGAAAGCGAAGCAUCGAACUGAAGCCCCGGUGAACGGCGGCCGUAACUAUAACGGUCCUAAGGUAGCGAAAUUCCUUGUCGGGUAAG